rnacentral:rRNA from 1 species
GACGAACGCUGGCGGCGUGCUUAACACAUGCAAGUCGAACGGAAAGGCCCUGCUUUUGUGGGGUGCUCGAGUGGCGAACGGGUGAGUAACACGUGAGUAACCUGCCCUUGACUUUGGGAUAACUUCAGGAAACUGGGGCUAAUACCGGAUAGGAGCUCCUGCUGCAUGGUGGGGGUUGGAAAGUUUCGGCGGUUGGGGAUGGACUCGCGGCUUAUCAGCUUGUUGGUGUGGUAGUGGCUUACCAAGGCUUUGACGGGUAGCCCGCCUGAGAGGGUGACCGGCCACAUGGGGACUAAGAUACGGACCAGACUCCUACGGGAGGCAGCAGUGGGGAGUAUUGCACAGUGGGCGGAAGCCUGAGGCAGCAACGCCGCGUGCGGGAUGACGUCCUACGGGUUGUAAACCGCUUUCGCCUGUGACGAAGCGUGAGUGACGGUAAUGGGUAAAGAAGCACCGGCUAACUACGUG